GAUGAACGCUGGCGGCGUGCCUAAUACAUGCAAGUCGAGCGAACAGACGAGGAGCUUGCUCCUCCGACGUUAGCGGCGGACGGGUGAGUAACACGUGGAUAACCUACCUAUAAGACUGGGAUAACUUCGGGAAACCGGAGCUAAUACCGGAUAAUAUAUUGAACCGCAUGGUUCAAUAGUGAAAGACGGUUUUGCUGUCACUUAUAGAUGGAUCCGCGCCGCAUUAGCUAGUUGGUAAGGUAACGGCUUACCAAGGCAACGAUGCGUAGCCGACCUGAGAGGGUGAUCGGCCACACUGGAACUGAGACACGGUCCAGACUCCUACGGGAGGCAGCAGUAGGGAAUCUUCCGCAAUGGGCGAAAGCCUGACGGAGCAACGCCGCGUGAGUGAUGAAGGUCUUCGGAUCGUAAAACUCUGUUAUUAGGGAAGAACAAAUGUGUAAGUAACUAUGCACGUCUUGACGGUGCCUAAUCAGAAAGCCACGGCUAACUACGUG
rnacentral:rRNA from 1 species